rnacentral:rRNA from 1 species
GUGGGGAAUAUUGGACAAUGGGCGAAAGCCUGAUCCAGCCAUGCCGCGUGUGUGAAGAAGGUCUUCGGAUUGUAAAGCACUUAAGUUGGGAGGAAGGGCAGUAAGUUAAUACCUUGCUGUUUUGACGUUACCGACAGAAUAAGCACCGGCCAACUUCGUGCCAGCAGCCGCGGUAAUACGAAGGGUGCAAGCGUUAAUCGGAAUUACUGGGCGUAAAGCGCGCGUAGGUGGUUUUGUAAGUUGGAGGUGAAAUUCACGGGCUCAACCUGGGAACUGCCUCCAAAACUGCAUGACUAGAGUACGGUAGAGGGUAGUGGAAUUUCCUGUGUAGCGGUGAAAUGCGUAGAUAUAGGAAGGAACACCAGUGGCGAAGGCGACUACCUGGACUGAUACUGACACUGAGGUGCGAAAGCGUGGGGAGCAAACAGGAUUAGAUACCCUUGUAGUCC